ACAACAUUUUAUUUAAUGAUAACUGAAAAAUUUUUGAAUUAUAAGGUGUACACAUUUUUACAUCAUUUUUAAAGAGUGCAGUUUUGUAAGGCAAAAUGCAAAAUUCGAAAGAAACCGUGCGUAUAGUUACUGAGUUUUUGGCUAAGAAAGUAAAGAAAAAAAUUAAAUGCACUAAAUUUAAAAAGUAAUUAAGUACAAGUUGAAGUAUGUACUUUUUAUUUUUACAAAGAAAAAAAGUAACAGCAUUUUUAUGUGUGUUCCGGGCAAAUACCCCUUUGCUUUGAAAAAAAAAACUGUGUAAGGAUUAUUGAGUAAAGGUCUACCGGGUUAUUAUCCUUAUUAAUCCGAUUGUUAUGAUUACUAUCCGCCAUUUACAUGCAAUAAUCCCGUCUUUCAGUAAAUGUGAUGAAGAAGCAGAUUAAUCCCAUUGUCCUGUAUUUCUAACAAAGGUGAUUUUCUUUAAAGUUACAGCACACAGCCCGAUAUCGCAUACAUUGCGUUAUUUCCUAAAAUAAAUCAUUAAAUAAUCAAUGAUCAAAUAAUCAAUGAUCAAAUAAUUAAAAAUGAUCAAUCAAAUAAAUUUGUCUAUUAAAUUUCAAUAAUACAAAUAAGUAUUUUUUUUUCAAUUACAAUUUAUGUUAUUUAUUAAAACCAGAACGUAAGUAUAUCGCUUUCUUAAUCAGAAUCAUUAUUAGUAACUGCUAAGGGGUUAACAAAGGGCUACUUUGUUAUAUUCACGGGAAAUUUAACUGAAAUUUCUUUUCGUUGCUUGGUGAUAAAAUUUUUUGAUUUGUCAAUGGUAAAUUUUAUCCGUAGUUGUUUAACAACAGUUAUACACUCUCUAGCCAAAAAUUAUCCGGACAUUCGGUUGUCAUGGUGACGGAAGUAUAAUGGUGUGGGGGUGUUUCUCGUGGUUUGGUUUGUGUCCGUUAGCUCCUGUGGUUGGAAACAUGAACUCUGAGGUGUGUGUGGACAAUGCUCCCAACUCCAUGGCAAUAUUUCCGAAGGCCCAUUUCUCUUAAAACAGGAUAACUGCUCCAUUCACACACUGAUGCGGACGUGCUUUGACGAAAUAGGUGUUCAAAAACUGGACUGGCCUUCUCAGAACCCCGAUCUAAAUCCAAUAGAACACCUUUUGGGAUGAAUUAGAGGGCAGAUCAAAGUAGCCAGCCAAAUCGACCCUCCUCACUGUAAGCACUCACUUCAGAUGUGAUGGAAGUCAAUUCCUAUGGGCACCUAUCAAAAACUGGUGGAAAGUCUUCCCAGACUUUGUGCUGGCUGUCAUCGAUGCAACAUCAUAUUAAUAUGUGCCUCAGAACGCUCUAAGUCCAUACCACUGGGUUGUCCGGAUACUUUUGGCCGGAUAGUGUAUCUAUAAAGAAAUUUCCCUCGAACAUCGUGCAGUAUUCUCUUGUAAAAUAAUAAGUAUUUACAUUGCAUAUAUGCCACUAAUAUGAUAAUAAUACGUUACCUUCUAAGCAUGAAUAAAAUCCCUUUAACCAAGAGGACAAUGUCCGUGGCAAACGUAUUUCAAGCUCAUAAUUUUUAUGAAAUUUUUUUUUUUUGAUUAUCUCAUAUUAGAUUUGGUAUAAAAUCUGCAGAAAGCAAAGAUCGAUAAGUAAAAAUUUGGUGCAGGUCGUGUUGCAGUGCUUGAUGGAUUGUCGUUGUCUUGGCAAAAUCACUGUGGAAAUUUGGUGGCGUAAGACAUGUUCGACAUUGUUCAGUUCUUGUUAAAUCGAAUCUUUAUACCUGAACUCAGACAGUAAUUUGGGGUCUCAUUUAAUGACAUAGGCAUAAAACGUUCCAAAAAAAUCUCCUCCCACCAUCUUUUAAAAUUGAGUCGUAGAUGACGACGUCACUCCCGCCUUUUUGUGACAAACUUUCUGAUCUGUUCAAGUGUGCUAACGGUUUUCUAGCCACCUUAUGUGUCUAACAUGGUCUCAUCACACUUCUUUCCGGUUACAGCACUUGAAAAUUCUUUGUCCCACAGUUCGGGACAGUUGGACAUAUUCAAGAAGCUUAUACUAAGGCUUUGAAGGACAUUACGUAAAAGGUAUACUGUGUACUGGGAACAGGGUGGUUUCAGACUUUUCAAGCUAGAAGACGAACUUAUCAGUUGUUACAUUUUUUUAAAAUUUGCAACAGAACAUUCACUCAAGAAAGAAACCUAGCAACAGCCAGUAGUGUUGCAUUUACAUCCUUGCCCUCGGUUAGCAAGCUUAGAAGCUACUAAAGGUUCAUUCUUUUUCUUUAAUAGAAAACUUAAUACGUUAUCAGAAUUUUUACAUUUAACUUUGUUUUCUUUGUGUAAUCACCUAUAAUGAUUUAUUAAUUUCUGCAAUUGUUUUUAAUAACGUCACUCAAUAUACUAUAAUUGAAAACCCUCGAUGCCUGGACAUUUCGCUGAUUAUAAUGUAUUGACGUGCACAGGUUUGCGCCAAUCAAUGCUCUAAAGAACAUUCUGGUUAGCCGUGCUUUAGUUACCUGGAAAUUUCGUUUAAAACAAUGUAUCAUCAAGAUGCUUGCACCAAAGCUUAAAGGAAAUUCUGGAAAAGAUUUGUUGUAACGCCUUCUAUCAAUACCUCCUAGAAGAGAGUAGGCUUCAGCACGGUUACCAUAAACAAGAAAUUUGAUCCUUUAGUAGUUCAACAAUAAUGCCAUAUUUCGUAUUUUCUUCCACUGCGCAGCUUAGUAGCCCGAACAUAGUGACCACUUUCUUAUUUUACUCCACUGCGCAGUUUACGUUUGUUACGUCGGACUACUAAAUUGAUCAGUGCUGAGGACUAAGAGUUGCUGUUUCGAUGCCUUGAAAUCUUGCUGAAAGCGAUGUGUUGAUGCUGAAAGGACGUAAUAAGAAACUUUUAAGUGUAUUGAACACUGUUCUGACCCGAUAAAUAAAUGUUUUUUAAUUGGCACAGUAAUAUUACUUCUUUGACAAACUCUCUAAAAGAAUAAACUCAGGAAGGUUUGCAGACUUAUAAUGUUUUUUUUGGGGGGCUUAAAACUAUUUAAGAACUUUUACGUUACGCAGUAUCUCCGUCCAUGUGUUGUAUAAGCUCUCAUAAUCAGGGCUAGCAAGAAACUAAGACAUUUAAUAUUUUGGAAACAUGAAAAAAGCAAUAGGAUAAAACAAUAGCAGUUCCUUAUAAUUUUUUUUUAUUUUGUUUCAGCUGAAUAAAAAUGGGGCUGGAAAAGAAAGAAGAAAAUCUAAAUUGAAUGGCUGAUUUUCUUGUUCCAUAGUAAAAAUAAUAAAAAAUAAUAA